CUAUAAUUUAUUUUAUAGAAAUAUAAUAGUAAGCUUUAAACCAGCUAUCUUUAAGAUUACGUUUUAGUUCAUUAUUUUUUUUUUUGAUUUUAUAAAUAUUUUAGAUUUUUUAUUAAGAUUAUUAAUUUAAUUUUAAAAUUUUUGUAAUAAUGAUAGAAUUAGUAUAUUUAUUUGUAUGAAAUUUUUACCUUGUGAACUUAUUAUAAGGAACUAGGCAAAAUUGAUUUCCGCCUGUUUAUCAAAAACAUGUCCUCUUGUUUAUAUUUUGAGGUCUGGCCUGCUCACUGAGCGUAUUUUUAAAGAGCCGCGGUAUUUUGACCGUGCAAAGGUAGCAUAAUCAUUAGUCUCUUAAUUAGUGGCUGGAAUGAAUGGCUUGACGAGAAAUCAACUGUCUCUUAAUAAAUUUUUGAAUUUAACUUUUGAGUCAAAAGGCUUAAAUUCUUCUUUAGGACGAGAAGACCCUAUAGAGCUUGACAUUUUACUUUUAUAUAGUUUUUUGUUUGUCUUUCUAUAUUUAAUGAUGAUGUUUUGUUGGGGUGACAUGAAGAAUAGAUAAACUCUUCAUUAUUAUAUCAUUUAUUUAUGUUUGUUAUUUUGAUCCAUAAUUUAUGAUCAUAAGAUUAAGUUACCUUAGGGAUAACAGCGUAAUUGUUUUUGAGAGCUCAUAUCGACAAAGCAGAUUGCGACCUCGAUGUUGGAUUAAGAAAAAUUUUGGGUGCAGGAGCCCAAUGAUUAGGUCUGUUCGACCUUUAAAUUCUUACAUGAUCUGAGUUGAGACCGGCGUGAGCCAGGUCGGUUUCUAUCCUAAGAUUGUUAAUCCAUAUUAGUACGAAAGGACCAUAUGGUUAAAAUAUUUUUUGUUAUAUUGAUUAAUAUUAAUUUAUUUA